AAGGCUUUACUUUCAGGGAUCAUUUCUAUAGUUUGUUACUAGAAAAGUGUUUAAGUAUUGGGAAACUGUCAAGUCGUAGU
ensembl:snoRNA U3 Small nucleolar RNA U3